rnacentral:rRNA from 1 species
UACAGAGGGUGCAAACGUUGCUCGGAAUUAUUGGGCGUAAAGCGCGUGUAGGCGGCUUGGUAAGUCGACUGUGAAAGCCCUUGGCUCAACCAAGGAAGUGCAGUCGAAACUGCCGAGCUUGAGUCCCGAAGAGGGUGGCGGAAUGCCCAGUGUAGAGGUGAAAUUCGUAGAUAUUGGGUAGAACACCAGUGGCGAAGGCGGCCACCUGGGAGGCGACUGACGCUGAGACGCGAAAGCGUGGGGAGCGAACAGG